ensembl:lncRNA
UGGGGCUGGGGGCGCGGCGGGCGGGAGGCGCCGAAAAUGGCGGCGGUGGGCGGCCUGUUGCCACCAAGGGGGCAGGGAUCGUGUUCCAUACGCGCUGCCUUUCUACCGCUUCCUUUCAGGAAGGAAGGAAGGAUGGAAUAAAGAAGGGUGGAAAGACAAAAGGAGUUGAAAUAACCCUGCUGUGUGGCAAAAAGAAGCUGAGCAUGCUGUGCUUUCCAUGCACUGGUAGCACUGACCUAGGGGAGACGGGUGCUCUGCGGCUCCCUACAGGUGGAACGCGAGCUGCAGCCAUUUGUCCAUUAACCACAGUUGUGUGGCAUUUCCUUGAGUCACUGAAUCAUAAGAUAUCUCGAAUUGGAUCCUCAGGGAUCACUGAGCCUACGUCCUGGCUCCACGCAGCACCACUCAAGAUUCAAACCCAGUGUCUGAUGGUGUUGUCCAAACACUUCUGGAACUUUGGCAGCUUGGAGCUCUGACCACUGCCCUGGGCAGCCUGUUCCAGGGCCUGACCUAGUGAAGAGCCUUUCCCUAACCUCCACCCUGACCUUCCCCUGAUGCAGCCCCAUGCCGUUCUCUCAGGUCCUGUCCCUGCCACUGGAGAGCAGAGCUCAGCACUGACCCUCCGCUCCCCUCAUGAGGAGCUGCAGGCUGCCAUGAGGCCUCCCCUCAGCUCCUCUGCUCUGGGCUGAACAAACCAAUGGACCUCAGUUGCUCCUCUUACGUCUCCCCCUCCAGACCCUUCACCGAUUUUGUGACAGGGUGCUGAAAGCGCAGCAAGUCCAGCAGAAGCCCACCAUGAUGGUCAGGGUGCUGGGCAUGAGAACCCACAGCAACCCCAGAUGCGAAUGACUGGACCUGCACUGGGCUGUAUGCCCCAUCAGCUGCAGGAGACCCACACCAGAUUGCACAAGAGCAAGGUGCUAUUCUUCCUCAGCUAACUGUGAAAUAGGACGACCACACUGUGCUUGCCUGUCCCCAUGAGUACCCAAAAGAAGCCAAAGCAGAACAAUAAGCUUCUGAGUAACGUAGAGUAUGGUCCCACUGCAAUGUAGGCAACUGCAAUCAUCACUGACAGCAGCAUCUACGGUCAAAUCCACAUCACUACUUGUACUGGCUACUUACUGCUGACUUUAAGCACUAUCAAAUCCAGUCGAUAUUUUUGAGCAGUGCAAGAAAGGUUAAGGCAGCACUGAAGUGCUCUGCUUUGAAAACACAUCUAGCUGGAACUGAGGCUCCUUGGGUUGCGUGUACUCCAGGAACUUUGAGGUCUCAUGUGUUCCAUUUAUCUUUGAUGUCUUUCCAUUCCUAAGUCUGUCAGUCUUGUCAAGAGAGGCAGCAUUUCGUUCUUACAGUUGCUGCAGCUUCCUUCAAGGAAUAUACACAUGUGGAUUUCUCUGAUAGAAAACAGUUUUGUCCUUAAGCAAUGAAGAACGUAGUUCUUUGGACUACUUCUCAUUCUGAAAUAAAUGACUACCAUAAAGCAUAAAGUUGCAUUUCUGAAUUCUGUAAAUGAAAGCAGUCAGCAAUAAAGCAAUGAAAGUAUUACCAUUACCAUUUUGAUCCUACUACAUAUUUCAGUUGAGUUUUGCAGCACCACAUCAUUUUACUAUGCAGUGUAUAUCCUUGUACAUCAUCAACUUUAUGUGAGAAAUCCCAACUUAAUAUCCCCUCUACAGAAGUCUGUUAACGUUGUUUGCAAAGAUUUGAAACUGCUUUUUCAGUUGAAUUUCAUAUGUUUUCAGGUAAUUUCUGUAGAACAGUAUUGGUUUCUUCUUUAUUAAAUUUUGAUAUUGUAAAAAUCA